rnacentral:rRNA from 1 species
GGGUGAUCUGCCCUGCACUUUGGGAUAAGCCUGGGAAACUGGGUCUAAUACCGAAUACACCCUGCUGGUCGCAUGGCCUGGUAGGGGAAAGCUUUUGCGGUGUGGGAUGGGCCCGCGGCCUAUCAGCUUGUUGGUGGGGUGAUGGCCUACCAAGGCGACGACGGGUAGCCGGCCUGAGAGGGUGACCGGCCACACUGGGACUGAGAUACGGCCCAGACUCCUACGGGAGGCAGCAGUGGGGAAUAUUGCACAAUGGGCGCAAGCCUGAUGCAGCGACGCCGCGUGAGGGAUGACGGCCUUCGGGUUGUAAACCUCUUUCAGCACAGACGAAGCGCAAGUGACGGUAUGUGCAGAAGAAGGACCGGCCAACUACGUGCCAGCAGCCGCGGUAAUACGUAGGGUCCGAGCGUUGUCCGGAAUUACUGGGCGUAAAGAGCUCGUAGGUGGUUUGUCGCGUUGUUCGUGAAAACUCACAGCUUAACUGUGGGCGUGCGGGCGAUACGGGCAGACUAGAGUACUGCAGGGGAGACUGGAAUUCCUGGUGUAGCGGUGGAAUGCGCAGAUAUCAGGAGGAACACCGGUGGCGAAGGCGGGUCUCUGGGCAGUAACUGACGCUGAGGAGCGAAAGCGUGGGGAGCGAACAGGAUUAGAUACCCUGGUAGUCCACGCCGUAAACGGUGGGUACUAGGUGUGGGUUUCCUUCCUUGGGAUCCGUGCCGUAGCUAACGCAUUAAGUACCCCGCCUGGGGAGUACGGCCGCAAGGCUAAAACUCAAAGGAAUUGACGGGGGCCCGCACAAGCGGCGGAGCAUGUGGAUUAAUUCGAUGCAACGCGAAGAACCUUACCUGGGUUUGACAUGCACAGGACGCCGGCAGAGAUA